CUAGCUGUGGCAGGCUGGACAGGAAAACCACAUGGCCCAGUGGCAGUGGGCUGGGCAGGAUAACUGCAACCUUCAUUCAACCCAAAGCUCUGGACCUCAAUCCCGUGUACAGUCUGUGUUCCAUGGGGCAGGCCGGGGGCUCAGAUGUUCCUCAUAGACAUGGAAUGAAUCUCCAGAUUAGCCACUCCUGGGUUCCCUAGCUCAGAACAUACAUUCAGGUGCAUCUGCCAUACAGAGUCAGUCUCAGGGUAUGCUUAAGUUAUUGUUAUCAGGUGUGUUUAACCUAUACCACCUUUCUUCCUUUGAUCAUAUAAUCACCGUUCUACGUCGGUGUUUUUAAAACUUCCAUGAACAUAUGAAUCACCUAGGAAUUUUGUUAAAAUGCAGAUUCUGAUUCAGCAGGUCUAGGGAAGGACCUAGAGUCUGUAUUGCUAAGAAGUUGCCCAGAGAUGCCGAUGCCCAUAAUGAUUGCAUUAUUGUCGUUCCUUAAAUAUAGUCUGAAUUCAUAGUAAUUGCUGAGUUCCUGGGCAUUGAGUCUAGUCAGAGGUAGUGCCUUGCCAGAUAUAUUUAAAUCGAUGGGUUCAAACCCCCUCCUUUGUAGCCUUUAAAUUGGAUUUUUAAAGCAUUCUGUCUUUAAGUUACUGGUAGUUCCAACGUCAUAUCUAUUGUUCUUUGGAUUCUUGUGUAUGUAGAGUCAAUUCUGCUUUUGCUACUAGUGGAAGGCAUGUGGAAUUGCACACAUUGCUGAGAUUCAGAACUCCUGCUUCUCAUUUGACUAAUUGUCUCAGGGUUGGCCUUUUCCCCUGGAUACCACAGAGAUGCUGAAGAUCCUGGAAUGAAUUGUGUUAACUCUCCUGAGACUGAAAUCUGGGACAUGAAAUUUGAUCACUUGACCCAGAUGCCUUCUCCCAAAGACAGAAUUUGUUGGCAUUCUCAGUUCUGUAGACGUCCUUUCCCUGUUCUUGGUUCCAUAGGGAACUUCAGGGACCUCUCACUCCUCCUUGGGGUCUUUUAGAAUAAAGCUAUUGGGGGGUGAUUCAGAGUGGUGCUUUUCAUUUUCACACCUCACCAGUACAUUUGCAUAAUGGGUGU
rnacentral:lncRNA from 1 species